rnacentral:rRNA from 1 species
UACGGGGGGGGCAAGCGUUGUUCGGAAUUACUGGGCGUAAAGGGCUCGUAGGCGGCCAACUAAGUCGGAUGUGAAAUCCCCAGGCUUAACCUGGGAACUGCAUCCGAUACUGGAUGGCUUGAAUCCGGGAGAGGGAUGCGGAAUUCCAGGUGUAGCGGUGAAAUGCGCAGAUAUCAGGAAGAACACCCGUGGCGAAAGCGGCUCUCUGGAACGGUACUGACGCUGAGACGCGAAAGCGUGGGGAGCGAACAGG